GGCCGGGAACUCAAAGGAGACUGCCAGUGAUAAACUGGAGGAAGGUGGGGAUGACGUCAAGUCAUCAUGGCCCUUACGACCAGGGCUACACACGUGCUACAAUGGCAUAUACAAAGAGAAGCGACCUCGCGAGAGCAAGCGGACCUCAUAAAGUAUGUCGUAGUCCGGAUUGGAGUCUGCAACUCGACUCCAUGAAGUCGGAAUCGCUAGUAAUCGUGGAUCAGAAUGCCACGGUGAAUACGUUCCCGGGCCUUGUACACACCGCCCGUCACACCAUGGGAGUGGGUUGCAAAAGAAGUAGGUAGCUUAACCUUCGGGAGGGCGCUUACCACUUUGUGAUUCAUGACUGGGGUGAAGUCGUAACAAGGUAACCGUAGGGGAACCUGCGGUUGGAUCACCUCCUUACCUUAAAGAA
rnacentral:rRNA from 1 species